rnacentral:rRNA from 1 species
UACGUAGGGUGCAAGCGUUUGUCCGGAAUUAUUGGGCGUAAAGAGCUCGUAGGCGGUUUGUCGCGUCUGCUGGUGAAAUCCCGAGGCUCAACCUCGGGCCUGCAGUGGGGUACGGGCAGACUAGAGUGCGGUAGGGGAGAUUGGAAUUCCUGGUGUAGCGGUGGAAUGCGCAGAUAUCAGGAGGAACACCGAUGGCGAAGGCAGAUCUCUGGGCCGUAACUGACGCUGAGGAGCGAAACGUGGGGAGCGAACAGG